UACGGAGGGUGCAAGCGUUAUCCGGAUUCACUGGGUUUAAAGGGUGCGUAGGUGGGCAAGUAAGUCAGUGGUGAAAUCUCCGGGCUUAACCCGGUAACUGCCAUUGAUACUAUUUGUCUUGAAUACUGUGGAGGUCAGCGGAAUAUGUCAUGUAGCGGUGAAAUGCUUAGAUAUGACAUAGAACACCAAUUGCGAAGGCAGCUGGCUACACAAAUAUUGACACUGAGGCACGAAAGCGUGGGUAGCAAACAGG
rnacentral:rRNA from 1 species